AAGAAGUCAGGCCGGAUUAAGCCAUAGUACGGUAAGAGCUAUGCUGCCUGUGAGCCCCGUCUAAGGACGUAAAAUGAAGUCAGGCCGAAAGCCACGGCUUGAGCAAACCGUGCUGCCUGUAGCUCCAUCGUGGGGAUGUAAAAACCUGGGAGGCUGCAACCCAUGGAAGCUGUACGCAUGGGGUAGCAGACUAGUGGUUAGAGGAGACCCCUCCCGAAACUCAACGCAGCAGCGGGGCCCAAACACCAGGGGAAGCUGUACCCUGGUGGUAAGGACUAGAGGUUAGAGGAGACCCCCCGCAUAACAAUAA
rnacentral:lncRNA from 1 species